ACUAAGCGUACACGGUGGAUGCCCUGGCAGUCAGAGGCGAUGAAGGACGUGCUAAUCUGCGAUAAGCGUCGGUAAGGUGAUAUGAACCGUUAUAACCGGCGAUUUCCGAAUGGGGAAACCCAGUGUGAUUCGUCACACUAUCAUUAACUGAAUCCAUAGGUUAAUGAGGCGAACCGGGGGAACUGAAACAUCUAAGUACCCCGAGGAAAAGAAAUCAACCGAGAUUCCCCCAGUAGCGGCGAGCGAACGGGGAGGAGCCCAGAGCCUGAAUCAGUGUGUGUGUUAGUGGAAGCGUCUGGAAAGGCGCGCGAUACAGGGUGACAGCCCCGUACACAAAAAUGCACAUACUGUGAGCUCGAUGAGUAGGGCGGGACACGUGGUAUCCUGUCUGAAUAUGGGGGGACCAUCCUCCAAGGCUAAAUACUCCUGACUGACCGAUAGUGAACCAGUACCGUGAGGGAAAGGCGAAAAGAACCCCGGCGAGGGGAGUGAAAAAGAACCUGAAACCGUGUACGUACAAGCAGUGGGAGCACAGAGCAAUCUGUGUGACUGCGUACCUUUUGUAUAAUGGGUCAGCGACUUAUAUUCUGUAGCAAGGUUAACCGAAUAGGGGAGCCGAAGGGAAACCGAGUCUUAACUGGGCGUUAAGUUGCAGGGUAUAGACCCGAAACCCGGUGAUCUAGCCAUGGGCAGGUUGAAGGUUGGGUAACACUAACUGGAGGACCGAACCGACUAAUGUUGAAAAAUUAGCGGAUGACUUGUGGCUGGGGGUGAAAGGCCAAUCAAACCGGGAGAUAGCUGGUUCUCCCCGAAAGCUAUUUAGGUAGCGCCUCGUGAAUUCAUCUCCGGGGGUAGAGCACUGUUUCGGCAAGGGGGUCAUCCCGACUUACCAACCCGAUGCAAACUGCGAAUACCGGAGAAUGUUAUCACGGGAGACACACGGCGGGUGCUAACGUCCGUCGUGAAGAGGGAAACAACCCAGACCGCCAGCUAAGGUCCCAAAGUCAUGGUUAAGUGGGAAACGAUGUGGGAAGGCCCAGACAGCCAGGAUGUUGGCUUAGAAGCAGCCAUCAUUUAAAGAAAGCGUAAUAGCUCACUGGUCGAGUCGGCCUGCGCGGAAGAUGUAACGGGGCUAAACCAUGCACCGAAGCUGCGGCAGCGACACUGUGUGUUGUUGGGUAGGGGAGCGUUCUGUAAGCCUGUGAAGGUGUGCUGUGAGGCAUGCUGGAGGUAUCAGAAGUGCGAAUGCUGACAUAAGUAACGAUAAAGCGGGUGAAAAGCCCGCUCGCCGGAAGACCAAGGGUUCCUGUCCAACGUUAAUCGGGGCAGGGUGAGUCGACCCCUAAGGCGAGGCCGAAAGGCGUAGUCGAUGGGAAACAGGUUAAUAUUCCUGUACUUGGUGUUACUGCGAAGGGGGGACGGAGAAGGCUAUGUUGGCCGGGCGACGGUUGUCCCGGUUUAAGCGUGUAGGCUGGUUUUCCAGGCAAAUCCGGAAAAUCAAGGCUGAGGCGUGAUGACGAGGCACUACGGUGCUGAAGCAACAAAUGCCCUGCUUCCAGGAAAAGCCUCUAAGCAUCAGGUAACAUCAAAUCGUACCCCAAACCGACACAGGUGGUCAGGUAGAGAAUACCAAGGCGCUUGAGAGAACUCGGGUGAAGGAACUAGGCAAAAUGGUGCCGUAACUUCGGGAGAAGGCACGCUGAUAUGUAGGUGAAGUCCCUCGCGGAUGGAGCUGAAAUCAGUCGAAGAUACCAGCUGGCUGCAACUGUUUAUUAAAAACACAGCACUGUGCAAACACGAAAGUGGACGUAUACGGUGUGACGCCUGCCCGGUGCCGGAAGGUUAAUUGAUGGGGUCAGCGCAAGCGAAGCUCUUGAUCGAAGCCCCGGUAAACGGCGGCCGUAACUAUAACGGUCCUAAGGUAGCGAAAUUCCUUGUCGGGUAAGUUCCGACCUGCACGAAUGGCGUAAUGAUGGCCAGGCUGUCUCCACCCGAGACUCAGUGAAAUUGAACUCGCUGUGAAGAUGCAGUGUACCCGCGGCAAGACGGAAAGACCCCGUGAACCUUUACUAUAGCUUGACACUGAACAUUGAGCCUUGAUGUGUAGGAUAGGUGGGAGGCUUUGAAGUGUGGACGCCAGUCUGCAUGGAGCCGACCUUGAAAUACCACCCUUUAAUGUUUGAUGUUCUAACGUGGACCCGUGAUCCGGGUUGCGGACAGUGUCUGGUGGGUAGUUUGACUGGGGCGGUCUCCUCCUAAAGAGUAACGGAGGAGCACGAAGGUUGGCUAAUCCUGGUCGGACAUCAGGAGGUUAGUGCAAUGGCAUAAGCCAGCUUGACUGCGAGCGUGACGGCGCGAGCAGGUGCGAAAGCAGGUCAUAGUGAUCCGGUGGUUCUGAAUGGAAGGGCCAUCGCUCAACGGAUAAAAGGUACUCCGGGGAUAACAGGCUGAUACCGCCCAAGAGUUCAUAUCGACGGCGGUGUUUGGCACCUCGAUGUCGGCUCAUCACAUCCUGGGGCUGAAGUAGGUCCCAAGGGUAUGGCUGUUCGCCAUUUAAAGUGGUACGCGAGCUGGGUUUAGAACGUCGUGAGACAGUUCGGUCCCUAUCUGCCGUGGGCGCUGGAGAACUGAGGGGGGCUGCUCCUAGUACGAGAGGACCGGAGUGGACGCAUCACUGGUGUUCGGGUUGUCAUGCCAAUGGCACUGCCCGGUAGCUAAAUGCGGAAGAGAUAAGUGCUGAAAGCAUCUAAGCACGAAACUUGCCCCGAGAUGAGUUCUCCCUGACCCUUUAAGGGUCCUGAAGGAACGUUGAAGACGACGACGUUGAUAGGCCGGGUGUGUAAGCGCAGCGAUGCGUUGAGCUAACCGGUACUAAUGAACCGUGAGGCUUAACC
rnacentral:rRNA from 1 species